ensembl:lncRNA
AGACAGGUUGCCCUGAGAAUUGGAAGUGACUUUGAGCUGUUCAGAAUUUUCCACAGUUUAUUGUGAUCCACACAGUCAAAGGCUUUGGCAUAGUCAAUAAAGCGGAAGGAGAUGUUCUUCUAGAACUCUCUUGCUUUUUCGAUGAUCCAGCGGAUGUUGGCAAUUUGAUCUCUGGUUCCUCUGCCUUUUCUGAAACCAGCUGGAACAUCUGGAAGUUCACAUAUAAAAUAGCAUGAAAAAGCAGUGUCCCUGAUAAAUGAAAUAGAUACAGGAAGACUUCCAUGGCUGCUCACCCGAAUUCUUCAAAAGCUUCACCGGA